UUAUUACUCCCUCCGUCCCAAAUUAAGUGACUCAAAAAUGACUCCGUUUUGUACGAAAGUUAGUACAAAAUAGAGUCAUUUUUGAGUCACUUAUUUUGGGAUGGAGGGAGUACUUC
rnacentral:pre_miRNA from 1 species